AGCCUGAUGCAGCCAUGCCGCGUGUAUGAAGAAGGCCUUCGGGUUGUAAAGUACUUUCAGCAGUGAGGAAGGGGAUAUCGUUAAUAGCGGUAUUCUUUGACGUUAGCUGCAGAAGAAGCACCGGCUAACUCCGUGCCAGCAGCCGCGGU
rnacentral:rRNA from 1 species